GAUGACUAGGUGAUGAAGUAUUUCGGAUGUAAACAUUUAUAUUUCUCCGAGAGCGCAAAACCCAUGUGGAAAUUUUCCGUUGCCUUCCUUCUGAUAUUUUAU
rnacentral:snoRNA from 1 species